UAGACAUUAAGGUUACAGGUGGG
rnacentral:misc_RNA from 1 species